rfam:Oryza barthii chromosome 11, whole genome shotgun sequence.
GUGAGCCGUGUGAUGGGAAACCUUCCCGCACGGUUCGGAGAGCACUGAAGACGAAUGAGAGGUUCACCACCACAUCAUUGCAAGGGGAGCUCGCUCGAUUCGCAGAUUGGUCUGACUCGUAAUUCACUUUUGACUCCGU